ACCAGGGGCCCUGAACCGGGCCUCCGGACCGAGCCCGCAGCCCACUCGCUGUGCCGGUCCGUGUUGUUACAGCCCACAAGGCGAAAUGACGAGGUUGCGACUGGCAAGAAGUUGUCCUGAGGGACGGGGAAGCAACCAACGUAUCAGCAAGAUGGUCGAAUGCAGCCAUUCGCCCUCGCCCAACGGCAGCCACGAGCCGGCAAGCGAUCCCGGAUGCCAUCGCUGCGAUCAUCUACCUGUUC
rnacentral:ncRNA from 1 species